rnacentral:rRNA from 1 species
CUUCUUGAAAUGAUUUGAAGUCGUGCCUGCCCACUGAGUAUUUUAAGGGCCGCGGUAUCUUGACCGUGCAAAGGUAGCAUAAUCAUUAGUCUUUUAAUUGAAGGCUGGAAUGAAGGGUUUGACGAAGCGAUUACUGUCUCGAAAUUAUUUAUUGAAUUUUACUUUUAAGUUAAAAGGCUUAAAUAAUAAUGGGGGACGAGAAGACCCUAUAGAUCUUUAUAAAAAGUAUUAUAUGUUUUUUUUAGAGGUAUUAAGAUUGAUUUAAUGUUUUUUAUUUCGUUGGGGUGAUGAGAGAAUAUUUUAACUUCUUUAUAUUUUACUUUGAUAGAUGGUUUUAUGAUCCUGUAUUAUGGAAUUAAGAUUAAGAUACCUUAGGGAUAACAGCGUAAUUUUGUUAGAGAGUUCUUAUCGAUAAUGAAGAUUGCGACCUCGAUGUUGGAUUAAGAAUAUAGUUGGGUGCAGAAGUUUAAUGUAUUGGUCUGUUC